rfam:Erinaceus europaeus unplaced genomic scaffold scaffold00328, whole genome shotgun sequence
GUGAGCUCGCUUCGGCAACACAUAUACUAAAAUAAUGGAAUGAUACAGAGACGAUUAGCAUGGCCUCUGCACAAGGAUGACACGCAGGUUCGUGAAGUAGUGGACACUGAC